rnacentral:rRNA from 1 species
GAUCCUGACUCAGGAUGAACGCUGGCGGCGUGCCUAACACAUGCAAGUCGAGCGAAGCACUUUGCUUAGAUUCUUCGGAUGAAGAGGAUUGUGACUGAGCGGCGGACGGGUGAGUAACGCGUGGGUAACCUGCCUCAUACAGGGGGAUAACAGUUAGAAAUGACUGCUAAUACCGCAUAAGACCACAGCACCGCAUGGUGCGGGGGUAAAAAACUCCGGUGGUAUGAGAUGGACCCGCG